AGUGAACGCUGGCGGUAGGCCUAACACAUGCAAGUCGAACGGCAGCACAGUAAGAGCUUGCUCUUACGGGUGGCGAGUGGCGGACGGGUGAGGAAUACAUCGGAAUCUACUUUUUCGUGGGGGAUAACGUAGGGAAACUUACGCUAAUACCGCAUACGACCUACGGGUGAAAGCAGGGGAUCUUCGGACCUUGCGCGAUUGAAUGAGCCGAUGUCGGAUUAGCUAGUUGGCGGGGUAAAGGCCCACCAAGGCGGCGAUCCGUAGCUGGUCUGAGAGGAUGGUCAGCCACACUGGAACUGAGACACGGUCCAGACUCCUACGGGAGGCAGCAGUGGGGAAUAUUGGACAAUGGGCGCAAGCCUGAUCCAGCCAUACCGCGUGGGUGAAGAAGGCCUUCGGGUUGUAAAGCCCUUUUGUUGGGAAAGAAAAGCAGCAGGUUAAUACCCCGCUGUUCUGACGGUACCCAAAGAAUAAGCACCGGCUAACUUCGUG
rnacentral:rRNA from 1 species